GGUUAAGCGACUAAGCGUACACGGUGGAUGCCCUGGCAGUCAGAGGCGAUGAAGGACGUGCUAAUCUGCGAUAAGCGUCGGUAAGGUGAUAUGAACCGUUAUAACCGGCGAUUUCCGAAUGGGGAAACCCAGUGUGAUUCGUCACACUAUCAUUAACUGAAUCCAUAGGUUAAUGAGGCGAACCGGGGGAACUGAAACAUCUAAGUACCCCGAGGAAAAGAAAUCAACCGAGAUUCCCCCAGUAGCGGCGAGCGAACGGGGAGCAGCCCAGAGCCUGAAUCAGUGUGUGUGUUAGUGGAAGCGUCUGGAAAGGCGCGCGAUACAGGGUGACAGCCCCGUACACAAAAAUGCACAUGCUGUGAGCUCGAUGAGUAGGGCGGGACACGUGGUAUCCUGUCUGAAUAUGGGGGGACCAUCCUCCAAGGCUAAAUACUCCUGACUGACCGAUAGUGAACCAGUACCGUGAGGGAAAGGCGAAAAGAACCCCGGCGAGGGGAGUGAAAAAGAACCUGAAACCGUGUACGUACAAGCAGUGGGAGCCUCUUAAUGGGGUGACUGCGUACCUUUUGUAUAAUGGGUCAGCGACUUAUAUUCUGUAGCAAGGUUAACCGAAUAGGGGAGCCGAAGGGAAACCGAGUCUUAACUGGGCGUUAAGUUGCAGGGUAUAGACCCGAAACCCGGUGAUCUAGCCAUGGGCAGGUUGAAGGUUGGGUAACACUAACUGGAGGACCGAACCGACUAAUGUUGAAAAAUUAGCGGAUGACUUGUGGCUGGGGGUGAAAGGCCAAUCAAACCGGGAGAUAGCUGGUUCUCCCCGAAAGCUAUUUAGGUAGCGCCUCGUGAAUUCAUCUCCGGGGGUAGAGCACUGUUUCGGCAAGGGGGUCAUCCCGACUUACCAACCCGAUGCAAACUGCGAAUACCGGAGAAUGUUAUCACGGGAGACACACGGCGGGUGCUAACGUCCGUCGUGAAGAGGGAAACAACCCAGACCGCCAGCUAAGGUCCCAAAGUCAUGGUUAAGUGGGAAACGAUGUGGGAAGGCCCAGACAGCCAGGAUGUUGGCUUAGAAGCAGCCAUCAUUUAAAGAAAGCGUAAUAGCUCACUGGUCGAGUCGGCCUGCGCGGAAGAUGUAACGGGGCUAAACCAUGCACCGAAGCUGCGGCAGCGACACUAUGUGUUGUUGGGUAGGGGAGCGUUCUGUAAGCCUGCGAAGGUGUACUGUGAGGUAUGCUGGAGGUAUCAGAAGUGCGAAUGCUGACAUAAGUAACGAUAAAGCGGGUGAAAAGCCCGCUCGCCGGAAGACCAAGGGUUCCUGUCCAACGUUAAUCGGGGCAGGGUGAGUCGACCCCUAAGGCGAGGCCGAAAGGCGUAGUCGAUGGGAAACAGGUUAAUAUUCCUGUACUUGGUGUUACUGCGAAGGGGGGACGGAGAAGGCUAUGUUGGCCGGGCGACGGUUGUCCCGGUUUAAGCGUGUAGGCUGGUUUUCCAGGCAAAUCCGGAAAAUCAAGGCUGAGGCGUGAUGACGAGGCACUACGGUGCUGAAGCAACAAAUGCCCUGCUUCCAGGAAAAGCCUCUAAGCAUCAGGUAACAUCAAAUCGUACCCCAAACCGACACAGGUGGUCAGGUAGAGAAUACCAAGGCGCUUGAGAGAACUCGGGUGAAGGAACUAGGCAAAAUGGUGCCGUAACUUCGGGAGAAGGCACGCUGAUACGUAGGUGAAGUCCCUUGCGGAUGGAGCUGAAAUCAGUCGAAGAUACCAGCUGGCUGCAACUGUUUAUUAAAAACACAGCACUGUGCAAACACGAAAGUGGACGUAUACGGUGUGACGCCUGCCCGGUGCCGGAAGGUUAAUUGAUGGGGUUAGCGGUAACGCGAAGCUCUUGAUCGAAGCCCCGGUAAACGGCGGCCGUAACUAUAACGGUCCUAAGGUAGCGAAAUUCCUUGUCGGGUAAGUUCCGACCUGCACGAAUGGCGUAAUGAUGGCCAGGCUGUCUCCACCCGAGACUCAGUGAAAUUGAACUCGCUGUGAAGAUGCAGUGUACCCGCGGCAAGACGGAAAGACCCCGUGAACCUUUACUAUAGCUUGACACUGAACAUUGAGCCUUGAUGUGUAGGAUAGGUGGGAGGCUUUGAAGUGUGGACGCCAGUCUGCAUGGAGCCGACCUUGAAAUACCACCCUUUAAUGUUUGAUGUUCUAACGUUGGCCCCUAAUCGGGGUUGCGGACAGUGUCUGGUGGGUAGUUUGACUGGGGCGGUCUCCUCCUAAAGAGUAACGGAGGAGCACGAAGGUUGGCUAAUCCUGGUCGGACAUCAGGAGGUUAGUGCAAUGGCAUAAGCCAGCUUGACUGCGAGCGUGACGGCGCGAGCAGGUGCGAAAGCAGGUCAUAGUGAUCCGGUGGUUCUGAAUGGAAGGGCCAUCGCUCAACGGAUAAAAGGUACUCCGGGGAUAACAGGCUGAUACCGCCCAAGAGUUCAUAUCGACGGCGGUGUUUGGCACCUCGAUGUCGGCUCAUCACAUCCUGGGGCUGAAGUAGGUCCCAAGGGUAUGGCUGUUCGCCAUUUAAAGUGGUACGCGAGCUGGGUUUAGAACGUCGUGAGACAGUUCGGUCCCUAUCUGCCGUGGGCGCUGGAGAACUGAGGGGGGCUGCUCCUAGUACGAGAGGACCGGAGUGGACGCAUCACUGGUGUUCGGGUUGUCAUGCCAAUGGCACUGCCCGGUAGCUAAAUGCGGAAGAGAUAAGUGCUGAAAGCAUCUAAGCACGAAACUUGCCCCGAGAUGAGUUCUCCCUGACUCCCUGAGAGUCCUGAAGGAACGUUGAAGACGACGACGUUGAUAGGCCGGGUGUGUAAGCGCAGCGAUGCGUUGAGCUAACCGGUACUAAUGAACCGUGAGGCUUAACCUU
rnacentral:rRNA from 1 species